CCUUUGGUUUCUAAUUCUAUCCACUGUGAAAUCAAUCCAGAAGAAACCCAUCCUCUAUAAAUAAACCCUAAAUUCACCGUUUAAAGCUUUCUCUUCUCCCUAUCCACUACCUAUCUUCAAUAAUCAAUUGCAUCUUCAUACCUUCUCACACGCACGCUCAUGAUUUCUUUUACUCAGGUCCUAUUGAGUAAAUGAUCCGGUGCUUAGGGUCAAGACAAUGGUGUUGGUAACCCAUCAGUUGCAGGGUUCAUAUGUAGCAUUUCCCACGAAGCGUUUAUCAUGGAGC